rnacentral:SRP_RNA from 1 species
GGUGAGGGGCAUUGACAGUGGAAGCCUGUGAAUCUGGUCAGGGGAGAAAUCCAGCAGCCAUAAGUGGUCACUUUCAGGUGUUUGUGUCUCUCGUCGCG